CCUACGGGAGACAGCAGUGAGGAAUAUUGGUCAAUGGACGAGAGUCUGAACCAGCCAAGUAGCGUGAAGGAUGACUGCCCUAUGGGUUGUAAACUUCUUUUAUAUGGGAAUAAACUGUUCCACGUGUGGGAUUUUGUAUGUACCAUAUGAAUAAGGAUCGGCUAACUCCGUGCCAGCAGCCGCGGUAAUACGGAGGAUCCGAGCGUUAUCCGGAUUUAUUGGGUUUAAAGGGAGCGUAGGUGGAUUGUUAAGUCAGUUGUGAAAGUUUGCGGCUCAACCGUAAAAUUGCAGUUGAAACUGGCAGGCUUGAGUACAGUAGAGGUGGGCGGAAUUCGUGGUGUAGCGGUGAAAUGCUUAGAGAUCACGAAGAACUCCGAUUGCGAAGGCAGCUCACUGGACUGCAACUGACACUGAGGCUCGAAAGUGUGGGUAUCAAACAGGAUUAGAUACCCGAGUAGUC
rnacentral:rRNA from 1 species